ensembl:miRNA Gm24714 predicted gene, 24714
UGAGGCAUAGUGGCUAUGAAUUCCAGAGGAUUAAGAAAGGGAGACCUCAGACUGGAGAGAUGGCUCAGCCAUUAAAGGCUAGGCUCACAACCAAAAAUAUA